ensembl:miRNA
GAACCCUGGACUUGGAGUCAGAAGACCUGA